rnacentral:lncRNA from 1 species
AAAAAGAAGCAAACUUCCUACUUUAAUUUUCAGGUGUAGAAAUUCAAGCUUUUUGGUUAAUUAAAUAAGGGAAACUGCGAUUAAAAAAACAAUCACAUUGUCAUUAAACUUUUAAAUUGUCUUGUUUCUGUAUAAAUUUUUCAGACGAGAAAAACUUCUUCAUAUAAUAACAAAUAUAUCACACAAUUUUGAUAUUAUCUACAACAUGUGUGAUAUAUAAUACAACAGACAACAAAAACUUGACCCUGUAACAGUUAUAAACAAUCCAUAAGAAAGGCAUAACAACUGAAUGAAUGGGAUUGAUGUUAAUAAGGGAGAUAACUCAAAACUAAGGGGAAUAACUACAGAACAGGCAAAUCUCCUGUCUUUUAUUAAGAAAAGUAAAAUAAUUCUAGUAACCCUGAGAUUAAGAAAGAAAACAAUUGUAGUCAUAACAGUUUCAGAGACAAUUCAUGAAGUAUUAAAACCUAAGGACUGUUCUAAACAUCUUUCAAGACUCUGUAAUAAUAAAUCUUAGAAUAUGAAAAUAACCAGAUGUACUAUGAUUUCAAGAGACAAACAUCCAUUGAAAAACCAAAGACUUUCAAUAACAGUAUCUAAGUGAACAUAAUAUUUUGAGAAAUCAAGGUUUAAUAUUAUGUUAUUGAUUCAAUACAAAUGACGCCACUGUCUCUAAUAUUGGGAUAGUUUUUAUGCAAGUCUUGAUUUUCACACACCUUAAUUAGUAUAACAAUGCAACAUGUCUCGUAAGCAUAAAAUUGAUAUUCGUAUAUGUGUGUGUGUGAAGUGAAGGUUACAACUGGCUGGUUUUUUUAAGACAAAUGAAUAGGUCAAGACUACCUGAAUUGUACAAAUAAAUACCGUAGAAAGGCUUGUAUAUUUCUCACUGGUACAUAGUCUGAAUCGGGGUCCAUUCGCGCCCAUUCACAUUUGCGCCCACUCAUGUUCGCCCCCUUUCAAUUUCACACCCUACAUGUUCGCACCCAAUCUUAAUUGGUUUUGUGUUUAAUAACUCUGUAAGCAAGUGUUUUCUUAUAAGUAUAAUUGUUGUCAUUAUCUCAAAAUAAAGUGAGACCGCACUUUUUUUUUGUGUUGAAUAAAACUUAAUCAUGUUUUGGAUAGCGUAUUGUUAAAAAUAAUAAUAAUCCUUUCUAAAUAAAGUGGUAUUUUGUCAACGUUUUAUUUGUGUUGAAUAACUCUUAAUCAUGUUUUGGUUAGUGUAUUGCUAUAACUUUGUUUCAUUGACUUGUUUCAAAAUGAAGUGAGAUUCUGACUAUGUUUUUUUCUGUGUGUUGAAUAAAUUUUAUCAUGUUUUGGUUAUAAUAGUGAAUUGCUAUAUUUUGGUUCCUAUAUUUUAUUGUUUCGUUGUUUCAGAUCAAAGGGACCAAGCUGUUAAAAACAAUUACCUUUUGUGUUUUUCCACCAAAGCAAUUUAAAACAAAAAUCAUGAUUUUCCAAUUAUUCAACUUGAAUUUGUGAUAAAAUUGGGCGCGAAUGAGUAGAGUGCGAACGGACCUUGGGUGCGAACGUGCGAGGUGCGAACGUGUAGGGUGCAAAAGUGUAUUGGGCGUGAACAGACCUGAUAACCACAUAGUCUGAACCCUUUCUCCCAAAAAUAUUAAGUAAAUAAUCUUUUUGUUACUGUUAUCAAAGGUCUAAUGAAACUCAGGUAAUUUCAAACAUUUGUCAAAGAAUUCUAGUCAAACUGGCACCUGGUUAAAUUGGCACCUGGACAAAUCAGCACCUGGUUAAAUCGACACCUCAUAUAGUCAAUUCGUCACCCAUGUUAAAUAUAUAUUUUUAACAGCAUUUUAAGCAAAAAGAGUAAAAAUAAGAAAGGGGUUGCCAGAAUUUUUUUCAG